rnacentral:lncRNA from 1 species
CAAAUCACUACGAACUGCCUUGAGAAGUCUGAAGACGUCUCCAUCACAAUGAUUUGAGCACAUGAGAAAAUCGCUAGACGAAACAGGGAAAACAUGGACACCAGACAGGUUGGAGAUAAGACAAGAGCGGAUAGGAACCAAGACUGAUUCAACAGCCAAGUGAGGAGAAAAUUGGUGGAAAAAAGGGUCACAGGAUGCAAAUGCAAAUCACACUUUCCUUGUCUACUUGCUGCUCCAGGGGACGGCAAUACUAUCCACUUGUCAAUUUUCUUUUCAGCAGAACAGACAUAUCCUUGUGGCUACUGACUAGGCCACGAAGAAACUUCUCACUAAUUGUUGGGGCACAGAGCCUUUCAACCUAGCACAUGUUGCACACGCACUGAAAGAGUAAUCAAAUUUCAGGAAACAUAUUCUAAGCUGGAUUAACAUAAUUUCAUAUAUGAUCAUGUCUACUAGGUUAUGCAGUAUUAUUCCACUAAAACAACAGAAAUGUGCAUGAUUGAACCUCUGCACGUCAAUCAACAUUGGUAGUGUGAUGCUGAACAACAAAUAUGGAGAAUGUGGAGAUAAGGACAAUUACCUCCAGUUCAAAACUCCCAUAAUAAUAUCUGGCAUAUGUAGUGUGAUGCUGAACAAUAAAUAUGGAGAAUGUGGAGAUAUGGACAAUUAC